UACGGAGGGUGCAAACGUUGCUCGGAAUCAUUGGGCGUAAAGCGCACGUAGGCGGACCGCUAAGUCGGAUGUGAAAUCCCUCGGCUUAACCGAGGAAGUGCAUUCGAAACUGACGGUCUUGAGUAUGGAAGAGGGUCGCGGAAUUCCCGGUGUAGAGGUGAAAUUCGUAGAUAUCUGGAGGAACACCGGUGGCGAAGGCGGCAUCCUGGACCGGCAUUGACGCUGAGGCGCGAAAGCCAGGGGAGCAAACGGG
rnacentral:rRNA from 1 species